AAUUCAAAGAAUCAUAUCAAUGCAUUUUCCUUUCCCUUAACGCAAGUUGUUCCCUUGGCAGUACUUCGUGUACUUUUUUUUUCUCAGGCCAUUGAUCCGUCUUUUCGUAAUACAUGUAGGAGGCAGAAGGAAAAAAAACAAAAGACUAUUCAAGAUAUUAGAAUAAAUCCAAAGUAAAAACGAUACAGAAGACAAAAAGCAUUCCAAAUUUGAAUUGAGAGGAUUGCAAAUGUUUGUUAAAAAGAAAGAUAAAGGUGGGUUGGUUUUGUAGGUUUUACGGAGAGACCAAUAGAGAACAAAAUCUAUUGGGUUUGGGUUUGAUUAAACAAUAGUGUUUCUUAUUGUUUAAACAAUUGAAGCAUUAGCAAUUCUCUCACUCAUACCAAAUUUGUUUCCAGUCCAAAUUUCACAGAUUCAACCAAAUUAUGAAGCCUCUCAAAUGGCAUGAAUAAAGAAAACUAAAAGCCACCCAGGUAGAUGUGUUUCUUUAUUCCAUUGAGGCAUUCUUACAAACAUCUUGAAUGCAAUUUUUAAAGUCUCGAAUAAAGAAAAAAAACCUAAAAGCCAAAGGACUUUUAAGAAAACCCACCAAACUUUGAAGGCAAAUGAAAAUCAUUUCCAGCAAAAUAAAAUCCCCAAUUCAGCUGGUCUAACCUGAACCCUAGCUCAAAACUUCAUUCUAACCGCCGACAAACCAACAAAAGGAUCCGAAUUUGCCUUAAAAUCAACAAUUUUAAUUGAUAACAAACAACGGGCGAGAAUUGAACUCCAUAAAUGAUUAUGAGAGAAAAUCGUAGUACUUGCUCCAUUUGGUGCACUCUGAUUCACCAUCGGAAAUCCACACAGCAACACAUAUGGGCUUAAACGACAACUGCUGCUGAAGCAACAACCACUUGGCCACUACUGCUGCCGGAGAACUCUCUCCGCCGCUGCCUACUGAUCAUGACUGAAGUGGACGGAUUGUCCGUUGUCGACGCAGAGAGGUCCCACGGGGACUUAAGGUUUGGUUGGGGGGAGAGAGAGGGAGUCGACAGAGGGAGGAGAGAGAGGGAUGCGAUGGUGCGGUGGGCCGAUUGAAGAGAGAGAGAGAGAGAGAGAGAGAGAGAGAGAGAGGGAGGAGGAGAUUGAGGG